rnacentral:rRNA from 1 species
UGGGGAAUAUUGGACAAUGGGCGAAAGCCUGAUCCAGCCAUGCCGCGUGUGUGAAGAAGGUCUUCGGAUUGUAAAGCACUUUAAGUUGAGAGGAAGGGCAUUAGCCUAAUACGUUAGUGUUUUGACGUUACCGACAGAAUAAGCACCGGCUAACUCUGUGCCAGCAGCCGCGGUAAUACAGAGGGUGCAAGCGUUAAUCGGAAUUACUGGGCGUAAAGCGCGCGUAGGUGGUUUGUUAAGUUGGAUGUGAAAUCCCCGGGCUCAACCUGGGAACUGCAUUCAAAACUGACUGACUAGAGUAUGGUAGAGGGUGGUGGAAUUUCCUGUGUAGCGGUGAAAUGCGUAGAUAUAGGAAGGAACACCAGUGGCGAAGGCGACCACCUGGACUAAUACUGACACUGAGGUGCGAAAGCGUGGGGAGCAAACA